AUAAAAACAUUGAAGGUGAAAAGUACAUGAUUAUUUGGCUUCUAGAGAAGGGUUUUCAUUGGCUGAAAAAAAUCCUAGUUCAAAAUCAUGGAAAGCUACACUGGAGUGCGUAAUAGCUCACUGGUUUCAUACCGUUAUGAUGAUCUAAGUGAUGAACGAAAAAUUAGUUCAUAAAUAGGGUGGUACCGCGAAAAUCUCGUCCCUGCA
rnacentral:ncRNA from 1 species